AAAUAGCCCCGAUAGAGCCGAUAUCCUCUUCUCUCAUUUUUUUUCGAGAGGAGAGAUAAAGGCGAAAGCGGGAAUGUAU
rnacentral:sRNA from 1 species